UCGGUUAGCAAAAUGGUGUGAUCCUCGAGGGAAUACGGCCAGGUGUUCUCGUUGGUCGUUUCCUUGUGAGGGGGAAGGCGAUGUUUUGGCUAGAGAUAAGCCAGUGGUGUGUUAAGUAUCGUGACGUGUUCCUUAGGAUGUGCAUGAUUUGUAUUUUGUUGGAGAAAGUUGACGUUAUUCUUGGAAUGAAUUGGUUGGAGUUAAACCAAAUGUUUACCAAUUGUUUUGUUAAGUUGGUGCACUGUUCCGCUGAUUGCAAGAGCUCAG
rnacentral:lncRNA from 1 species